rnacentral:rRNA from 1 species
AUUGAACGCUGGCGGCAUGCCUUACACAUGCAAGUCGAACGGCAGCAUGGAGGAGCUUGCUCCUCUGAUGGCGAGUGGCGAACGGGUGAGUAAAGCAUCGGAACGUACCGUGUAGUGGGGAUAACGUAGCGAAAGUUACGCUAAUACCGCAUACGCACUGAGGUGGAAAGCAGGGGAUCGCAAGACCUUGCGCUAUACGAGCGGCCGAUGUCAGAUUAGCUAGUUGGUAGGGUAAAGGCCUACCAAGGCGACGAUCUGUAGCGGGUCUGAGAGGAUGAUCCGCCACACUGGGACUGAGACACGGCCCAGACUCCUACGGGAGGCAGCAGUGGGGAAUUUUGGACAAUGGGGGAAACCCUGAUCCAGCCAUGCCGCGUGAGUGAAGAAGGCCU